UGCCAGCCGCCGCGGUAACACGGGGGGCGCAAGCGUUAUUCGGAAUUAUUGGGCGUAAAGCGCGUGUAGGCGGUUCGUUAAGUCUGAUGUGAAAGCCCGGGGCUCAACCCCGGAAGUGCAUUGGAAACUGGCGAACUUGAGUACGGGAGAGGAAAGUGGAAUUCCGAGUGUAGGGGUGAAAUCCGUAGAUAUUCGGAGGAACACCAGUGGCGAAGGCGGCCAACUGGACGAGUACUGACACUGAGGUACGAAAGCGUGGGUAGCAAACAGGAUUAGAUA
rnacentral:rRNA from 1 species